AUCUCAGUGAUGCGUUUCUCCUCCCAUUUGCGCAUCAUGAGUGUUCCCCUCUGAAGGAUUGCUUUUACGCUCCUUCAAAAUUUUAUAGCCGGACGUUUUGUCCGGCUUUUUUUU
rnacentral:sRNA from 1 species